GAUCCGGGCUCGUCGCUGGCCAUGGUAGAACACUGACAUUCCUGCCUUGCAGGAAAUCACGCACAGAACGAGCAGUAUGGCUGGUGGCAUUUUCAAGCUGGAGGGUCAUGUCAGGAUGAGCCUGCAGGAAGGGUACCACAUGAGGGAGGAGGUCUUCCCUGUAACGCACAGUGUUGAGAUUGCCUGCAAUAACAAGCUCAGUCCGAUGAUGCUGUGACACACAGCCCCAGAUCAUGAAGGACCCUCCACCUCGAACCCGCUCCAGAGUACAGGCUCAUUCCUUCGACGAUAAACGCGAAUCCGACCAUCACCCCUGGUGAGACCAAACCGCUCGUCAGUGAAGAGCACUUUUUGCCAGGCCUGUCCGGUCCAGCGACGGUGGGUUUGUGCCGAUAGGAGAUGUAAGGCAAGUCCUCACCAGACAACAGGCCUACAAGCCCUCAGUCCAGCCUCUCAGACUAUUGUGGACAGUCUGAGCACUGAUGGAGGGAUUGUGUGUUCCUGGUGUAACUCGGCCAGUUGUUGUUGCCAUCCUGUACCUGUCCCGCAGGUGUGAUGUUCGGAUGUACCGUUCCUGUGCAGGUGUUGUUACACAUGGUUUGCCACUGCGAGGACGUUCCGUCCUGUCUCCUUGUAGUGCUGUCUUAGGCGUCUCACAGUACGGACAUUGCAAUUUAAUGCCCUAGCCACAUCUGCAUUCCUCAUGCCUCCUUGCAGCAUGUCUAAGACACGUUCAUGCAGACGAGCAAGGACCCUGGGCAUCUUUCUUUUGGUGUUUUUCCAGAGUGGUUUCGUUUCUUUGUAUCCUAAAGAAACUCCCUAGGCCUUGCCGAUGACAAGCAUACCCAUAACAUGAUGCAACUACCACGACGCUUGAAAAUAUGAAAAGUGCUACUCAGUCAUUUGAUGUGUUGGAUUUGCCCCAAACACUUUGUUUUCAUGACAUAGUUCAUUUCUUUGGCACAUUUUUUGCAGUUUUACUAUAGUUCCUUAUUGUCAACAAGAUGCAUGUUUCAGAAUAUUUGUAUUCUAUACAGACUUCCUUCUUUUCACUCCGUCAACUAGGUUAGUAUUGUGGAGUAACUACAAUGUUGAUCCAUCCUCAAUAUACUUUUUUUUAUUUAACCUUUAACUAGGCAAGUCAGUUAAGAACAAAUUCUUAUUUACAAUGAUUUCCUACCCUAGCCAAACCCGGACCAAUUGUGAGCCGCCCUAUGGGACUCCCAAUCACGGCUUAUUGUGAUACGGCCUGGAUUCAAACCAGGGUCUCUCAGUGCUAGAGGCGUCACUACAGAUGAAGUGCCUUAGUACUCAAGUGGUGCAGCGGUCUAUCACAGCCAUUAAACUCUGUAACCAUUUUAAAAUUGGCCUCGUGGUGAAAUCCCUGAGCGGUUUUCUUCCUCCCCGGCAACAUUUUUUUCAGUUUUCAAAUCAAUUUAAUUGACUAUUUUGGUUAAAGGCCUUGGUGCCCUGGCAGAUUGCCUUGGUGCCCUGGCAGAUUGCCUUGGUGCCCUGGCAGGUUGGACACCUAUAGAAGGGCAAAUGGCCUUCCCCCUAAAAUCCCAAGCCUGUCCACCACCUGAACCCCUUAUUGAUCCAGAGAACCCUGCACAGGUGUGGCCUUUCACAGUUGACACCCUCAUGUGAUGUACCAGCAGACAGAAACAGUGAGUGUCCACUUUCAGUCACACCUGCAUGACAGUGCUGAGGGUAGCAGGCAGCAAGGUAGCAAGCAGCAGCGCUGAGGGCUGGGAGAAGAACACGUCGAGCGGUCCUCUCCAUUUUGCUCUAGCAACAGCUCCUCUACAAUGCUAACUACACCAACAUCAUACAAAAAUUAGUGUGAAAAUGUUCUCUCACUUCAUAUCACACCCUCAAUCUGUUUCCUGUCACUACAUUAUUUUGUCUGUGGUGGAGGACUACUUACAGUUAGGUGGUGGGCCGUAGCAAGCCAUCUGCUUUAGUUAUCAAGAUGAUCUAUCUCUGUCGAUGGAGGAGCAGGUGUAGAUUUAUUUAUUCUGAACACAUUUCUGUUUGUUGGCAAUGAUAAUUCUUGCAACAAUUUUUACAUUUUUUAAAAUAAAAUUGCAAUAAUUAUGUUUGCUAGCUGGGACAGGCGAAUGCCGCAGAGUACUGAACUGUAAACCAAGCUAAACUUGUGUACUAUCCAUGGCACUCCCUGCUGAUCAUGUCUGCCAAUCACAUUAUUCGUAUCUAAGGUAGUAGACAGCUGGUGAUUACAGCUCAAGAGAGAACUCAGUCCGACAAACUGCUACCAGAGGACCUGAGCCCUAGGACCAUGCCUCAUGACUACCUGACAUGAUGACUCCUUGCUGUCCCCAGUCCACCUGGCCGUGCUGCUGCUCCAGUUUCAACUGUUUUGCCUGCGGCUAUGGAAUCCUGACCUGUUCACCGGACGUGCUACCUGUCCCAGACCUAUUAUUUGACCAUGCUGGUAAUUUAUGAACAUUUGAACAUCUUGGCCAUGUUCUGUUAUAAUCUUCACCCGGCACAGCCAGAACAGGACUGGCCACCCCUCAUAGCCUGGUUCCUCUCUAGGUUUUGGCCUUUCUAGGGAGUUUUUCCUAGCCAAUGUGCUUCAACACCUGCAUUGCUUCCUGUUUGGGGUUUUAGGCUUGGUUUCUGUACAGCACUUUGAGAUAUCAGCUGAUAUCAGCUAUAUAAAAAUACAUUUGAUUUGAUGAUUAACUACAACCUAAAAGCUCUUACCUUGGAAUAUUGAAGUCUCAUGUUAAAAGGAACCCCCAGCUUUCAUAUGUUCUCAUGUUCUGAGCAAGGAACUUAAACGUUCGCUUUUUUACAUGGCACAUAUUGCACUUUCUCCUCCAACACUGUGUUUUUGCAUUAUUUAAACAAAAUUGAACAUGUUUCAUUAUUUAUUUGAGACUAAAUAGAUUAUGUAUUAAGUUCAAAUGAAAGGGUUCCUUGUUCA